AAGGCUAUAGCUUAACAGGUAAAGCGUACUGCUCAUGAUAGUUCUAAUAGGUGUUCAAAUCACCUUAGCCUUA
rnacentral:tRNA from 1 species